rnacentral:tRNA from 1 species
GCCUGGGUGGCUCAGUUUGUUAAGCGUCUGACUUUGGCUCAGGUCAGGAUUUGUGGUUUGUAGGUUUGACCCCCACAUCAGGCU